rnacentral:rRNA from 1 species
CCUACGGGAGGCAGCAGUGGGGAAUAUUGGGCAAUGGGCGCAAGCCUGAUCCAGCAACGCCGCGUGAAGGAAGAAGGCUUUCGGGUUGUAAACUUCUUUUAUGAGGGACGAAAGUAAUGAUGGUACCUCAUGAAUAAGCCACGGCCAAUUACGCGCCAGCAGCCGCGGUAAUACGUAGGUGGCAAGCGUUAUCCGGAUUUACUGGGUGUAAAGGGCGUGUAGGCGGGACUGCAAGUCAGAUGUGAAAGUUAUGGGCUCAACCCAUAAACUGUUUUUGAAACUGUAGUUCUUGAGUGAUGGAGAGGCAAGCGGAAUUCCGUGUGUAGCGGUGAAAUGCGUAGAUAUACGGAGGAACACCAGUGGCGAAGGCGGCCUGCUGGACAGUAACUGACGCUGAGGCGCGAAAGCGUGGGGAGCAAACAGGAUUAGAUACCCCAGUAGUC